rnacentral:rRNA from 1 species
AGCGAACGCUGGCGGCAGGCCUAACACAUGCAAGUCGAACGAACCUUUCGGGGUUAGUGGCGGACGGGUGAGUAACACGUGGGAACGUGCCUUUAGGUUCGGAAUAACUCAGGGAAACUUGUGCUAAUACCGAAUGUGCCCUUCGGGGGAAAGAUUAAUCGCCUUUAGAGCGGCCCGCGUCUGAUUAGCUAGUUGGUUGAGGUAAUGGCUCACCAAGGCGACGAUCAGUAGCUGGUCUGAGAGGAUGAUCAGCCACAUUGGGACUGAGACACGGCCCAAACUCCUACGGUAGGCAGCAGUGGGGAAUCUUGCGCAAUGGGCGAAAGCCUGACGCAGCCAUGCCGCGUGAAUGAUGAAGGUCUUAGGAUUGUAAAAUUCUUUCACCGGGGACGAUAAUGACGGUACCCGGAGAAGAAGCCCCGGCUAACUUCGUG